rnacentral:lncRNA from 1 species
ACUGGGCAGGGACAUUGCGCACUAAGACUCCUUAAAGAUGAAACCACAAUGUUGACCUGGCAGGCCCAAGGGACCCACCUUCUCCAUUGUUGUUACAGCCAUCAUCGGAACUGGUGAGAAACGCUUGAAUUUCCUGCUUACAAACUAACUUUUGGGCCGGAUAUGGAGGCACGUGUUCUUGAGAGGCACUGGAGGCUGAGGCAGGAGAAUGGCAAGUUCAAAGCCAGCCUCAGUAAUUAAGCAGGAUCCUGUCUCAAAUAAAAAGGACUGGGGAUGUGGCUCGGUGGUUAAGUGCGCCUAGGUUCAAUCUCCAGGAACAAAAAUAAAACUGGCUUUUGGAGCAAAUUAACCAC